GAUGGACGCUGGCGGCGUGCCUAAUACAUGCAAGUCGAGCGAACGGACGAGAAGCUUGCUUCUCUGAUGUUAGCGGCGGACGGGUGAGUAACACGUGGAUAACCUACCUAUAAGACUUGGAUAACUUCGGGAAACCGGAGCUAAUACCGGAUAAUAUUUUGAACCGCAUGGUUCAAAAGUGAAAGACGGUCUUGCUGUCACUUAUAGAUGGAUCCGCGCUGCAUUAGCUAGUUGGUAAGGUAACGGCAUACCAAGGCAACGAUGCAUAGCCGACCUGAGAGGGUGGACGGGCAAACUUGGAAUGAGGAACGGUCCCGACUCCCAAGGGAGGGCACAGUAGGGAAAUAUUCGACAUUGGGGGAAGCCCGACGGCAGCAAGCCCGGGGAGUGAAGAAGGUCUUCGGAGUGGAAAACUCUGUUAUUAGGGAAAAAAAUAUGGGUAAGUAACUGUGCACAUCUUGAAGGGUCCUAAACAGAUAGACACGGGUAACUACGGU
rnacentral:rRNA from 1 species